CAUAUCAAUAAGCGGAGGAAAAGAAACCAACAGGGAUUGCCUCAGUAACGGCGAGUGAAGCGGCAACAGCUCAAAUUUGAAAUCUGGCUUUCACCGGGCCCGAGUUGUAAUUUGCAGAAGAUGCUUGGGGCGGGGCCGCGUUCUAGGUCCCUUGGAACAGGGCGUCAUAGAGGGUGAGAAUCCCGUACGUGACCGCGUGCCUCUGCCCGUGUCAAGCUCUUUCGACGAGUCGAGUUGUUUGGGAAUGCAGCUCAAAGCGGGUGGUAAAUUCCAUCUAAGGCUAAAUACCGGCCAGAGACCGAUAGCGCACAAGUAGAGUGAUCGAAAGAUGAAAAGCACUUUGGAAAGAGAGUCAAACAGUACGUGAAAUUGUUGAAAGGGAAGCGCUUGCAACCAGACUUGGGCGCCGACGGUCACCCGGUGUUCUCACCGGCGCACUCGGCGGCGCGCAGGCCAGCAUCGGUUCGGGCGGUCGGAGAAAGGCCCUGGAAAUGUGGCUCCCCUCGGGGAGUGUUAUAGCCCGGGGCGCAAUGCGGCCAGCCCGGACCGAGGACCGCGCUUCGGCUAGGAUGCUGGCGUAAUGGUUGUAAUCGACCCGUCUUGAAACACGGACCAAGGAGUCUAACAUCUAUGCGAGUGUUUGGGUGUCAAACCCAUCCGCGCAAUGAAAGUGAACGGAGGUGAGAACCCUGAAGGGUGCAUCAUCGACCGAUCCUGAUGUCUUCGGAUGGAUUUGAGUAAGAGCAUAGCUGUUGGGACCCGAAAGAUGGUGAACUAUGCCUGAAUAGGGUGAAGUCAGAGGAAACUCUGAUGGAGGCUCGCAGCGGUUCUGACGUGCAAAUCGAUCGUCAAAUUUGGGCAUAGGGGCGAAAGACUAAUCGAACCAUCUGGUAGCUGGUUCCUGCCGAAGUUUCCCUCAGGA
rnacentral:rRNA from 1 species